AACCCAGUGCAAUUCGUUGCACUAUCGUUAACUGAAUACAUAGGUUAACGAGGCGAACCGGGGGAACUGAAACAUCUAAGUACCCCGAGGAAAAGAAAUCAACCGAGAUUCCCCCAGUAGCGGCGAGCGAACGGGGAGCAGCCCAGAGUCUGAAUCAGCUUGUGUGUUAGUGGAACGGUCUGGAAAGUCCGACGGUACAGGGUGAUAGUCCCGUACACCAAAAUGCACAGGCUGUGAACUCGAAGAGUAGGGCGGGACACGUGGUAUCCUGUCUGAAUAUGGGGGGACCAUCCUCCAAGGCUAAAUACUCCUGACUGACCGAUAGUGAACCAGUACCGUGAGGGAAAGGCGAAAAGAACCCCGGCGAGGGGAGUGAAAAAGAACCUGAAACCGUGUAC
rnacentral:rRNA from 2 species